rnacentral:lncRNA from 1 species
GAGCGAAUAAUAUAGAGUUGAUGGAUCAUUUGAACGAAUAAUUUAGUUUAUGGACCAAAAUGUAAAUCAGGUAUAAAUUUGAGGACCAUUUGAGUAAUUUACCCAAGAAAAUUAUAACAUUACCUUGAAAGGUGUGGUUUCCAUAGGCACCUUUGUGACAUGGCGUGGAGGGCAUGCUCAUAGAUGUAUUGUAUUGAUGAAAUUCAAAGAAAUAGCAACAUUUGAUUUUUUUAAACACUUGAGGGGUUUUGAACAUUAUUUGAGUAGGUGAAAACGUCCGGAAUAAAAAGUAUACUUCAGAGCACUUCCACCCAUUUGUCAGGGCAAGGGGCAAAGGCUAUUACUAUUCACGUGAAUGGUGGCAAUCCUUGCAAAAGGCUUGUGGUGUUUCCACCUAUUAUCAUGGCAACCUAAAGGCAACCACUAUUCACAUGAGAUAUGAUGAGAGGAAUUUGUAUAGAGUUUUGGUGUGGGAAGUGAAGAAUAUGACUAAGUAUUUAUUUAAAAAAAUUCUGAAAUUUUUAGUUUAUUUUAAAAAAAAUCGUUGCUGACAUCAGCAAGCCCAGGCAACAGUCCAAGCUAUUCUUACCUUUAGGCUUGUCCAGACUUAUGGAGCCUACCAGCU